GAUGAACGCUGGCGGCGUGCCUAAUACAUGCAAGUCGAGCGAACAGACGAGGAGCUUGCUCCUCUGACGUUAGCGGCGGACGGGUGAGUAACACGUGGAUAACCUACCUAUAAGACUGGGAUAACUUCGGGAAACCGGAGCUAAUACCGGAUAACAUGUUGAACCGCAUGGUUCAACAGUGAAAGACGGUCUUGCUGUCACUUAUAGAUGGAUCCGCGCCGCAUUAGCUAGUUGGUAAGGUAACGGCUUACCAAGGCAACGAUGCGUAGCCGACCUGAGAGGGUGAUCGGCCACAUGAGAAGUGAGACACGGUCCAGACUCCUACGGGAGGCAGCAGUAGGGAAUCUUCCGCAAUGGGCGAAAGCCUGACGGAGCAACGCCGCGUGAGUGAAGAAGGCCUUCGGAUCGUAAAACUCUGUUAUUAGGGAAGAACAAAUGUGUAAGUAACUAUGCACGUCUUGACGGUACCUAAUCAGAAAGCCACGGCUAACUACGUG
rnacentral:rRNA from 1 species